GACGACCGCUGGCGGCGUGCUUAACACAUGCAAGUCGAACGGUAAGGCCCUUUCGGGGGUACACGAGUGGCGAACGGGUGAGUAACACGUGAGUAACCUGCCCUUGACUCUGGGAUAACAUUUGGAAACAGAUGCUAAUACCGGAUAUACAGCUUCCUGCAUGGUUUUUGGUGGAAAGCUUUUGCGGUUGGGGAUGGGCCCGCGGCCUAUCAGCUUGUUGGUGGGGUAAUGGCCUACCAAGGCGACGACGGGUAGCCGACCUGAGAGGGUGAUCGGCCACACUGGGACUGAGACACGGCCCAGACUCCUACGGGAGGCAGCAGUGGGGAAUAUUGCACAAUGGGCGCAAGCCUGAUGCAGCGACGCCGCGUGAGGGGUGACGGCCUUCGGGUUGUAAACCUCUUUCACCAGGGACGAAGCUUUUGUGACGGUACCUGGAGAAGAAGCACCGGCCAACUACGUGCCAGCCGCCGCGGUAACAC
rnacentral:rRNA from 1 species